ACGAUUAUUUUUUGGAGCUUGAUAAAGGAAACAAGAAAAUUGGACCUCCUGAGAUGCUUGAUUGGUCAAAAGUUGAAAGGUUAGAAAAAUUUCUUGCAAUUUUCUACGAGUCAACAUUAGUUGUUUCAGGUUCUACUUCUGUGAAUUCAUUCAAGUGUUAUGGUGAGAUUGUGGACAUUUGCACAAGUCUAAGAGAACUGAGUUACAGUUUUGAUCAAGAAUUGAAGAAAAAUGCAACUGAUAUGUUAAAGAAGUUUGAUAAGUACUGGGAGGGCCUGAAAAAUAUGAAUAAAAUGUUGAUUGUGGCCACUGUGUUUGAUCCUAGAAAGAAGAUGAAGUUUGCUGAGUUGUGUUUUGAUGAUCUAUUUGGGAAAGAAACUGUAGAGAAUAAGGAAAUGCAAACAUCAGUGAAAGAUAUUCUCCGUUCUUUGUUUGAUGAAUACAGUUUACGAUUGGGUACGGCUACAACCUCUGAAACUGUCAGUUUUCUCAGACAUCUCACUGCAAUCAAGAGCAGUCAACUGAAAGAUGGGAUGACGAUCUCGACCUGGUUUCUAGUCGUAAAAGAAGAAAGGUGGAAUCUAGAUUUACAGAGAUGCAGAAUGAGAAAGGAGUUAAAGUAUCGACGGAUGAGCUGGAUGUGUAUCUAAAGGAAAGUUGUGAGACUCCAGAUGUGAUGCAUGGAAUGGAGUAUGAUGUACUGUCUUGGUGGAAGGUGAAUGCCCACAAAUAUCCAAUUUUAGCAGAGAUAGCUCGUGACGUACUUGCAGUCCAAGUGUCAUCGGUUGCAUCUGAGAGUGCAUUCAGCACGAGUGGAAGAAUCAUAUCGCCAGCAAGGAGUUCUCUAACUCAUUAUAUGGUGGAGGUUUUGAUGUGUUUAGACCAGUGGAUGAAACAAGAUAUUUCAUUGUCACAAAAGUGCUUACAAUUUCACAAAUACUUGCUGACAUAGAAUACGAUGAGAAGCUUGAGAAAGAGUUUGAAAUUCCUUUCAUAAUAGGCGAUUAAACUCCAAUGCAACAAUGUAUGAAGGAACUUGAACUUGAGGAUGGAGGCAUGGAGGAAAGAGCUAAAGAUGAUUGAAUGUGGACAUGUAGUUGUUCUGAUUUGAAGUCUUUUUUUUCUUAAAACGUUCAUGGACGUAUUGUCAUUUGUCGCUUCGUUUUUAUCUUUUGUUUUUUCUCUUUAACGUUCCUAAACUUCAAUGCUACUUAUCUACUAUUUGCUUCUAUUUGGAUGAUGAUUUUGGUGAGAUUACAUUGAAAUUUCUGUUUUUUGUUUAAAAUUUUAUUGGUUACUACGGUUAUUUCGAACCCGAAAUAAAACC